UUUAUGACUGUAUUCAUACAAUCUAGACCAUCUAUUAGCCAUUCCAGAAUGUUCUUUUGUUCAGUUUUUAAUUUUUUAAGCAAGUAUAUGGCAAAAUAUGUUUCAAAGCGUAGUCGCCAGUUUGAACCUCGUGCUGUAAAGCUUGAUUAAUCUGCCUUCUGAUUGGCUAAUGUUGACUUCUUAUCAGUCAUUCCAUUGGUCAAUCAAAGUUCGCGAAAAGUCGGUCUGUCGUGACCCGUAAUGGGAUGUCCUCAGAUCUUUGUUUGGCAGUAGCGAGAACUAAGAUCUGAUUUUAAUGAGAUUGUGUAUAGAUGUAUCUGGGUUAUACCUAGGGAUUAUACACAGGAGUUAAUAUACUUUGGGGUAACGUUUUAUGUGGACUAGGUAUAUGUAGGGGAAAGUUAGGACAGGGGCAGCAAGGCUAUAUUGGGGCGUCUAAAUACUACUUUGGGGAAACUAGGUUAUUUUGGGGGGCAAGUGGGAAGUAUGUAGGGAUAAACAGGUUACACGUAGCUAGGGAUAAACAGGUUACAUGUAGUUAAGGAUAAACAGGUUACACGUAGCUAGGGAUAAACAGGUUACACGUAGCUAGGGAUAAACAGUUUACAUGUAGUUAUGGAUAGACAGGUUACAGGUAGCUAGAGAUAAAGAGGUUACACGUAGCUAGUGAUAAACAGGUUACAUGUAGUUAUGGAUAGACAGGUUACAUGUAGCUAGAGAUAAACAGGUUACAUGUAGCUAGGGAUAAACAGGUUACACAUAGCUAGGGAUAAACAGGUUACAUGGAGCUAGGGAUAAACAGGUUACAUGUAGUUAUGGAUAGACAGGUUACAUGUAGCUAGAGAUAAACAGGUUACAUGUAGCUAGGGAUAAACAGGUUACACAUAGCUAGGGAUAAACAGGUUACAUGGAGCUAGGGAUAAACAGGUUACACGUAGCUAGGGAUAAACAGGUUAAAUGUAGCUAGGGGCAGCUUGGGUGUACACUUGAUGUUUGUGGGAAACAGUUGUCCUGGAUACCUGAGUUCAGACAGGUUGUCAUGGUGGACAUAUGGAGAAAGUGGAUGUUUCAGAAGGGAUGCUGGCCCUGGGGACAACCCUAGAGAAUGUGUGUCUGUACAUGGGUGGUUGACCUGGGAAAUAAGAAUGUGUGCCUGUACCACGUGGCUCUAUGAUUGGUUGACCAGGGUGAUGUCAUAUGAUAUAGGAUGCGCUGCAACAUGAUAAAACAUUCUUGUGGUAUUGACGUCAUGUACGAAACCCUAUUUGUUAAUAAAUGUUAUCAUGAUA